UGUGUGACUGCGUACCUUUUGUAUAAUGGGUCAGCGACUUAUAUUCUGUAGCAAGGUUAACCGUAUAGGGGAGCCGGAGGGAAACCGAGUCUUAACCGGGCGUUAAGUUGCAGGGUAUAGACCCGAAACCCGGUGAUCUAGCCAUGGGCAGGUUGAAGGUUGGGUAACACUAACUGGAGGACCGAACCGACUAAUGUUGAAAAAUUAGCGGAUGACCUGUGGCUGGGGGUGAAAGGCCAAUCAAACCGGGAGAUAGCUGGUUCUCCCCGAAAGCUAUUUAGGUAGCGCCUCGUGAAUUCAUCUCCGGGGGUAGAGCACUGUUUCGGCUAGGGGGCCAUCCCGGCUUACCAACCCGAUGCAAACUGCGAAUACCGGAGAAUGUUAUCACGGGAGACACACGGCGGGUGCUAACGUCCGUCGUGAAGAGGGAAACAACCCAGACCGCCAGCUAAGGUCCCAAAGUCAUGGUUAAGUGGGAAACGAUGUGGGAAGGCCCAGACAGCCAGGAUGUUGGCUUAGAAGCAGCCAUCAUUUAAAGAAAGCGUAAUAGCUCACUGGUCGAGUCGGCCUGCGCGGAAGAUGUAACGGGGCUAAACCAU
rnacentral:rRNA from 1 species